GUCAGCAUGACAUAAUGGUUUGAGUGUUGGACUAGGACUCAGACACCAGGGGUUCAAAUCCCCACUCAGACA